AAUAGCGGGAAUUGCUAUUGGACGUGGUGUGUUUGGACAAGACCGUGACGGCCGCCAUGGAGGCUGUCUAUUUAGUGACUCAAUCAUUUGUUGGGUGAAGCACAGAGAAAACUUUGCAGAAGAAGUCGGGUGGCAGCUCCUCACGUGGAAAGGAUGGGAAAUAAUUACUAUUUCUUUUGUGUUUACUACAUACUUUUAUGUUUGGCGCUAUGUGCAAAAAGAGAUCCGCCGAGAGGAUGAAUCUUCGCUCCCAGUAGAAGCAGGAGCGGUAAUUAGACAAAACAUUGCCCGCCUGACGGCCAUUCCUAUUACUUAUACCUUACUGCACAUCUGGGGCAGCAUACAUUGGAUGCUGUAUGUAGCUUCCUCUAAAAGAUUUGAUACACCCCAAACACAGCACAUGUGCAACGCAAGAGGAUUUUUUAUGAUUAUGGGGAGUUUUGGAGCUAGUCUGGAGGGCUUCACAAACUGCGUUCUUUUCUGUCUUACCUCGUCAAAAAUCCGCACAAGGACACGCCAUUGGCUUUUGAAUGAUUUUUGGCUUGUGAAAUUGGUGGAAAGAUUCGCACAUCGCAACAGAUCGGGACUUUAUCGCAGCAGCUAUACCAGGAAAAACCCACAAAGCCUAUUUUCCUCAACCAGCCGCAUGGCGCUGUCGAACCAAACGGAGAGAAUAAAAAUGGAAUCAACACCUCUCCUCACCACGUAUUAACUGUUCAAGCACUCUGUCAAGUUUUGCUGUGAGGCAAACAAGGCAU